GACGAACGCUGGCGGCGUGCCUAAUACAUGCAAGUCGAACGAAGCUUUUUUAACUGGUGCUUGCACCGACUUAAACAACUGAGUGGCGAACGGGUGAGUGACACGUGGGUAACCUGCCCCAAAGCGGGGGAUAACAUUUGGAAACAGAUGCUAAUACCGCAUAACCACAGAAACCACAUGGUUUCUGUGUCAAAGAUGGUUUCGGCCAUCACUUUGGGAUGGACCCGCGGCGUAUUAGCUAGUUGGUAAGGUAAUGGCUUACCAAGGCAAUGAUACGUAGCCGAACUGAGAGGUUGAUCGGCCACAUUGGGACUGAGACACGGCCCAAACUCCUACGGGAGGCAGCAGUAGGGAAUCUUCCACAAUGGACGAAAGUCUGAUGGAGCAACGCCGCGUGAGUGAAGAAGGUUUUCGGAUCGUAAAACUCUGUUGUCAGAGAAGAACGUGUGCGAGAGUAACUGUUCGUGCAGUGACGGUAUCUGGCCAGAAAGCCACGGCUAACUACGUGCCAGCCGCCGCCGUAA
rnacentral:rRNA from 1 species